GAUGAACGCUGGCGGCGUGCCUAAUACAUGCAAGUCGAGCGAACAGACGAGGAGCUUGCUCCUCUGACGUUAGCGGCGGACGGGUGAGUAACACGUGGAUAACCUACCUAUAAGACUGGGAUAACUUCGGGAAACCGGAGCUAAUACCGGAUAAUAUAUUGAACCGCAUGGUUCAAUAGUGAAAGACGGUUUUGCUGUCACUUAUAGAUGGAUCCGCGCCGCAUUAGCUAGUUGGUAAGGUAACGGCUUACCAAGGCAACGAUGCGUAGCCGACCUGAGAGGGUGAUCGGCCACACUGGAACUGAGACACGGUCCAGACUCCUACGGGAGGCAGCAGUAGGGAAUCUUCCGCAAAGGGCGAAAGCCUGACGGAGCAACGCCGCGUGAGUGAUGAAGGUCUUCGGUUCGUAAAACUCUGUUAUUAGGGAAGAACAAAUGUGUAAGUAACUAUGCACGUCUUGACGGUACCUAAUCAGAAAGCCACGGCUAACUACGUG
rnacentral:rRNA from 1 species